GUACUCCGCCCCUAGACAUGAAUGGAGGCUGGAAGAAUUACGUUCCUACGUCCGAAACAGCCGGCGUAGCCUCUGAGCGCCCCUUUAUCGUCUCCAUUCAUGCCGUGUUGAUCCCGGACUCGGAGCCCGUAGCAGCUUACCAGCGCCAAUCAGAAAGCAGCACUACUCAAAUAGAAUUCCCGUGAGGUCACACAUGUGAUGUCAUAACCAUUGUCAUUGGUGAGGGGCCUAAACUGUAGGAACCUAGGAUUGCACAUUCACAUUACACACGCCUGUGACUGGUAAGUAUCACAUCUUUUUGUCAAUGUACAUUUCUAUAAUAAUCAUGUAACUAAUCUCUCUUUUCUUUCCCUAUCUUAGAUGCACACUUCCAGGCUGUGGAGGAGCACAUACACUGACACUUUGCCCAAAUUCUAGAGGUAACCUCCUUUAGUAUGCCCAGAGGAAGGGCAGUACAGUAGCCAUGGAUUCCCUACAGGUUUCCUCCCCUCUGGAGGUUUUUCCUGUCCUGAGUUAGUUACUGUCCGCUCUUUGUGAGUGAUGGAGGUUACAUAAAAUCCCUACACAAACAUUUUUGUAAAUAAUAAAUAAAGUUCCCUUUGUUUAAACUGUU